rnacentral:tRNA from 1 species
GCGAGUGUGGCGAAAUUGGCAGACGCGCUAGACUUAGGAUCUAGUGUUUAAACGCGUGUGGGUUCAAGUCCCUCCACUCGCA